rnacentral:sRNA from 1 species
GGAUAAAUAUGUUCGGAAGACUUCUUAGAGGGACAAGCGGUGUUCAGCCGCAUGAAGCUGAGCAAUAACAGGUCUGUGAUGCCCUUAGAUGUCCAGGGCUGCACGCGCGCUACACUGGAGGAAUCAGCGUGCUGUAACCAUUGCCGAAAGGUAUUGGUAACCCCUUGAAAAUCCUCCGUGAUCGGGAGCGGGAAUUGCAAUUAUUUCCCUUGAACGAGGAAUUCCUAGUAAGUGUGAGUCAUCAGCUCACGUUGAUUACGUCCCUGCCCUUUGUACACACCGCCCGUCGCUGCCCGGGACUGAGCCGUUUCGAGAAAAGCGGGGACUGCUGUUUCGAGACCUUUCGGGGUGGAGAUUCUUUGGUGGAAACCGCCUUAAUCGCAGUGGCUUGAACCGGGCAAAAGUCGUAACAAGGUUUCCGUAGGUGAACCUGCGGAAGGAUCAUUAUCGAGCGAAUCCAAAACGAAAAAGUCUCCCAACGUGCAUACCAUCCAUUUGCAUGUUGUUGUGAGCCACAUAGAAACUCAUACACGUGUGGUGGCAGCCGUCUGAUGUGCUUUAUCGUGCAGACAAUGGCUUAUGAGUGGCUGUGUGAUUGUUGAACAACGGUGACCAAUUUGGCGUCUACGCCGUAUCUAGCUUCUGCCUGGACCGUCGGUAGCGAUGAAAGAUGCGGAGGAAGUUCCUCUGUUUUGGUACGCUAAAGCAGAGUUGAGCAGACUUAAUGAGCCACGCUUGGUGGCCGCCAAAACCCAAAACACAACCAGUCUAUUUUAACGUUUGUUGAUAUGUUAAUGUACAAAUCUUGGCGGUGGAUCACUCGGUUCGUGGAUCGAUGAAGAACGCAGCCAGCUGCGAUAAAUAGUGCGAAUUGCAGACACAUUGAGCACUAAGAAUUCGAACGCACAUUGCGCUAUCGGGUUCAUUCCCGAUGGCACGUCUGGCUGAGGGUCGAAUUAUAGUAAACUAUCUUCGAGUACUUUUUAUGGUCGUGAAGUAUUCGGCGAGUAGUGCAGUCGGAUUGUUUUUGUUGGUCGUCCGUUCGUUCGGUCGGUCAACAACAAUAUUCUGAGGCUCCUUGCUUAGUUGUGUUCUAGUAGACGUUAACACCUGAACAAUAUGUGGUGGUGAUAUUGGUGAUGGCGAGAAUCAUGCCGCUUCAAUGGGGCAGCAACCAGCAUACGCUAAUGACAGUUGGUUGAUUGAAGCCAGGGCAACGGAGUGAUGUACGUGUGGCGAUCAUUUAACGUUUAUAUUUGACCUCAGCUCAGUCGUGAUUACCCGCUGAAUUUAAGCAUAUAAUUA